rnacentral:rRNA from 1 species
GACGAACGCUGGCGGCGUGCCUAAUACAUGCAAGUCGAGCGAAUUUACGAGAGCUUGCUCUCGUAAAUUAGCGGCGGACGGGUGAGUAACACGUGGGCAACCUGCCUAUAAGACUGGGAUAACUUCGGGAAACCGGAGCUAAUACCGGAUAAUUCACAUCUACUCAUGUAGAUGUGCUGAAAGACGGUUUCGGCUGUCACUUAUAGAUGGGCCUGCGGCGCAUUAGCUAGUUGGUGAGGUAACGGCUCACCAAGGCCACGAUGCGUAGCCGACCUGAGAGGGUGAUCGGCCAAACUGGGACUGAUGCACGGCCCAGACGCCUACGGGAGGCAGCAGUAGGGAAUCUUCCGCAAUGGACGAAAGUCUGACGGAGCAACGCCGCGUGAGUGAUGAAGGGUUUCGGAUCGUAAAACUCUGUUGUUAGGGAAGAACAAGUACCAGAGUAACUGCUGGUACCUUGACGGUACCUAACCAGAAAGCCACGGCUAACUACGUGCCAGCCGCCGCGGUAA